CUGGAGGCAUUCAUUGUCACACUUUCCAAGCCUAACAAACCCCCCACUAACUGCGCCAACCUAUGACCAUUUUCCUUACUUAAUUCGGACGUCAAACUAUAUGCCAAAAUGUUAGCAACAAGGGUCAAAACACUCUUUCCCACGCUCAUCUCCCCCGAACAAGCGGGAUUUGUACCUGGGAAACAGGUAGGGGACAACACCCGCCACUUCCUAAACCUUAUCGACUAG